CCUACGGGUGGCAGCAGUGGGGGAUAUUGCACAAUGGGGGAAACCCUGAUGCAGCGACGCCGCGUGUGGGAAGACGGUCCUCUGGAUUGUAAACCACUGUCCCCAGGGACGAAAAUGACGGUACCUGGGGAGGAAGCUCCGGCUAACUACGUGCCAGCAGACGCGGUAAGACGUAGGGAGCGAGCGUUGUCCGGAAUUACUGGGUGUAAGGGGAGGGUAGGCGGGGAUGCAGGUUGGGUGGCAAAACUACCGGCUCAACUGGUUGUCGCACUCAAAACUGCAGCUCUUGAGUGAAGUAGGGGCAGGCGGAAGUCCUAGUGUAGCGGUGAAAUGCGUAGAUAUUAGGAGGAACACCAGUGGCGAAGGCGGCCUGCUGGGCUUUUACUGACGCUGAGGCUCGAAAGUGUGGGGAGCAAACAGGAUUAGAUACCCGAGUAGUC
rnacentral:rRNA from 1 species